AAAUAUGAAAACAGAUACAGACAGUCGAUACAAAUACAGCUCACCAGUCACACACAGUCAUGAUCAGAUUCUGCCAAUAGAGGGAGGUGUUUGAUUGACAGGUGUCCGGUCUGCAAUCUCUCCCAUUGAAACUCUGCAAAGAUGAGAAAAGUACUUAUAAUCCAAUUUCAAAACUCAUUAAACACAUGCAAGGAAACCUGCUACAGUUCUAACGUAAACUAUCAUGGUUUCAGGCUUCAAAUUUCUUUUUUCUUCUACAUUAAGCAAAUCAUUGUCAUUAAUGUAGAAGAAAAAGAAAUGUAGACAACGGCGGCCGCCCAUUGGCUCGGAGUCUACACUCUUCUACACUUGCCGGCCGCUCAUUGGCCAGGAGUCUACACUCUCCUCCGAAGUGUAGACAAUGGCGGCCUCCCAUUGGCGCGGGGUCUACAGUUCCCUAGAGCCUUCCCCCUCCCCGACGUUGGCACUUGACGCUCUCCGAGCGAGUUCAGCCGAAUGGAAAAAGGUAAAAAGUCACCACCGUUUCACCCGUUACACGUCUACGAAGAGGACGACGCCACGCACUUGACGCUCUCCGAGCGAGUUCAGCCGAAUGGAAAAAGGUAAAAAGUCACCACCGAUUCACCCGCCUCGUUCGCUUCAUGUCAACAACUUAGCCAUACAAAACUAUGUUUUUUAAGGUAGGUUUAUUAAAUUACUUUUUCCGUGAAUGAACUUGUUUAUCUUUGGGUUUAUUCAUAUGUUAAUGUGCUGCCGAUUUUUACUGUUGUGCUUGCUGUGUUCUUUGUAUAUAUUUAGCAGAUGCAAUCAUUCUUUUUCCAGUUCAUGACAUAUCUUUAUGCACCUUCUUGGAAACUACUUACUAAUUACUUCCUUAAUGUGCAAAUCACAAAUGUCACAACUCAUCAAAAUCUUGUUUUGUGUGUAUAUAUAUAGGCUAUAUGCACUCGUUACCUCUGUCACAGGCAUAAUAAUUCUCUUGCACUACGAGCUUGAUGCCUUUCACAUUGAUCUCCAGGACAAGGCUUUAUAUUCUAUAAUGUAUAUUUAAUCUUUAUCUUGGUUGUCAUUGCUGUUUUAGAUUUAUAUUUUAAGCUAAUAUUACAAUUAUUUAUGUUUUUUUACACCUGUGUUUAUAAACCUGUGACAACCUAUUUUAUUAUUGAAAAUGUGAGUUAUUAAAAAAACAAAAAUUGCACUCCAAUAAACCUCUCUGACCUUUAUUUUCAUACAACAAUUAACAGAAUAUAAAAAAUCAUAAACAUGACAAGAUAAGCCAGUCAAUUCCUCAUCCAGAACAUUCCCCUAUUACAGUAGCAACAAACAUAACGGUGAUAAGCUGUACUUAAGCUCUGCUAAGGCACUUUUAAUGUAAACAGAUCCACACCAGUGAUAGCUUUCCAUACAGGUUGUUUUGCCUUUUUUAAACCUUUCAAUGUGGAGUUUGCAUGAGGGCAAAGGUUAAACUACUUUGCUUGUGUGGUGUUCAGAAAACAAUAUGGCUUUGA